GGUGUUGAGCCUGGCGCCCCGCCUGACCACUUCCAAGAUCUGGGCUGGCCUCUGUGCAGAGGAAGCUGAGACCACUCUUCGCCCGCCACGGGGACCCUGAUGACGCACCCCAGGCCACCAGGCCACUGCCUUCACGGAAGUGGCCCUCGGACACGUGGAGGUACCCGAGGCCUGGGUUGGAGCUGCAUCUUUCGGUGCAGGCCUCUGCGUCUCCUGGAAGUGGGCACCUGGAGCCAGGGGACUGCUGGGAUCCGGGUCCAGUCCCCUGGCAAGGCCGGGGGCUCGCAGAGGGAGCCACGCACUGUCUGGUGGUAGCUCCUCCGUCCGCAGUCGUUGGUGCUUGAUGUCUGAAUCGACAGAUUCAUGGAGCAAAAUGGUGAUUUUCCAGUGCGUGGUGGCUUCGUCAUGAAUUCACUGGAGGGAGAGGCUCAUCUUGUCCGUCUGGCCAUCUGGAUAAUGGUGCCCACAGGAAAGGCAGGGCAAGGGUGCCUCUCCCUCAUUUGUCAGUUUCCACAACGGUGAAUUGGUUCCCGACAAUCUCCCAAGUAUAUUUGUACAUCGCUGAUGAAACACAUUGGUGGGUCUCAGUCGAUCACCAUUAGUGCCCUUUCCAAGCAUCGGUGUCCAGCUUUGCCCAGGGGGCCUCUUCAAAUGCAAUCUCGCAUCCUUAUGAUGUGAGCCUGGUCAUCUGCGAUGGCCUCUUGGCCGUGUGCAGGGCACAGCCAGGGGAACCCUGGGAUUUAGUGCGAAAGUGUAGCCGAUGGUGGUUACAUUCUGUGUGUAGAUUCUCGAAACAGUCCCUGCUGCCUGCCACCCUGGGGUGGAGUUUCUAAUGGAUUAGGACGGACACCCAAUGCCAGCUUCCAAGCCAGGAGGCCGCUCGUGCCCACGGCUUGGAAUCAGGGCUGUGGCCUGGGAGGGCUCUCACCAGACGCAGGCUGCCUCCAGGUAUCUGUGUGCCUCUGCCCACGGAGCUUCUCCCCAGGUCCGCGGGUCCCCCCAGUCCACUUCUGCUUUCCUGUUAGGGUGGGGGGCUCAUCUCCUGGUGCGCCAUCUGCAUCCUUCUGGGCUGGGAACCUGCUGUCGGGUAUCAGGCAGGGCGCACCUCCAGGGCUGAAGGAUGCAGGUGGGGCUGGCAGGCAGAGUGUCCGUGGAGAGCUCCGUGUCCAGGGAAGGGGACACCUGGAGGAGGCCGGCCCUGGAGGCCCCACACUCCUUCUCACCAGAAAGCCACCCGCCUUCUGCCUGGCAGGGCCGGGCACCCACCCAGGUUCUUGCCUGUUGGCCCAGCACCCAUGCGUGGUGAGCCUCUCCUGGCAGGGUGGGGUAUGUGGACAUCAGUGGAGGAAGCAGAGUCUCCGGCCACCUGUGGGACCCACACUCUCCCUGCCCAGGAGUCCCACCAGGGCCGAGAAUUCUGCCCAUGGCCAGGGUGGCCCUAAAGCCCCACAUCCGCCACCACCUGUGGGGGCUCGAAGGGAGCUGUGGUAGGCAGGGAUGACAGAAGACCCCAGCCACAGCCCCAGGCCCAUGGCUGCAUCUCCCCUGAAGAAGCAGCCCUGUCCCAAGGGUUCUGCAAACAAUGCCAGGCUCUUCCCAGGCAGGCACCGCAAGCUGCCCCCCGCCCCGAUCCCUGGCUUGCCCAGGGCGGGGCCUCUGGGCCUGGUGGAUGGUGGGCCUGGCCUGGCGCUGGGGAGCCUGUCUGCACAGUGGCCAGGUACGUGGGGUUCUGAGCCUCCCCCGGGUCCUGUGCCUGCUGGGCAGGGGUACAUCCCAUGGAGCUGAAUCUGGGAAUAGAAGGGGCCUCCCCUCCCACAGAGCUCGUCUCAGACCAUCUGUGUCUGAGACUGUAAGUGACGCCAACAGAAGGUCAAGCUUGAGCGACAAAGCUCUCAGUCCUGUAAUUCACGGACACUGAGUCUUCGCUCAAGUUCCCUCUGGAAGAUUCCGUGGAUGAGUCCGACACACUCUUCCCCUCACUCAGGAGGCUCCAGGAUUUUUAGACCACGUGUGUGGCUUUCCUUCUCUCAAAGUGUAACUCACAUAAUGUUACUCAGAAUCUCACACGGACGCCCGUGAGUUGCAGACACAGGGAAGGUUCGCAUCUCCUCUGAAGUCCAAGCUGCCCAGAAGCCCACCCACCCCCCGCCAGCUCUCGUUCCUGCUCCACAGGUGACUUCUUUCCCGUGAAGCUUGGGCAAAUGUUUGCUGUCGGCUCAGGGGGAAAGGCCAUGCCAGGGUCCAGAUGGGCUCAAAACCUCCCAACCUGGCAGACACGCAGCCCUUCAGAAAUGGAAGCAGAGCCCAGGACACGAUGUGGCCAAUCCUCUCUCAGACGUCAUAAAGAGCUGGGUUUGGAAGACGAGGCCAACCCUCAUGGAUGCCGCCCCCGACCCCAGCAACACCAUGAGAUCAGGGAUUUGCUGGCUCUGUCUCAGAGCCGCGGAGGGUCCUGCUCAAACCCCAGAGCCGUGGGGAUGGGCUGGGGGGCUGGUGGGGAGCGUACUGCGAGGGGCCACUGAGCAGGCUGGGGUGAGCUGGGCCUGGCCUGCGGGGGUGGGGGUGCAGCCUUCGCUGGGGAGGCAGCCAGGGAAGGGGUUCCUACCAGCCCGAGAUGGAGCAACGAAGCAACUAGUGAAGCCAAGUUUGCAAAAUUAUCACCGUUGGUGGAAGGGUUCCGACCUGACUCCAUCUUGGUUCUGACCUCCAAGCUGUCCUUGUUCCUUCCUGGGCGUAGGCUGAACUAACUUUGGGAGGAACUUAGUUUAUAGUUAAA
rnacentral:lncRNA from 1 species